ACGGAGGGUGCAAGCGUUAAUCGGAAUUACUGGGCGUAAAGCGCACGCAGGCGGUUUGUUAAGUCAGAUGUGAAAUCCCCGGGCUCAACCUGGGAACUGCAUCUGAUACUGGCAAGCUUGAGUCUCGUAGAGGGGGGUAGAAUUCCAGGUGUAGCGGUGAAAUGCGUAGAGAUCUGGAGGAAUACCGGUGGCGAAGGCGGCCCCCUGGACGAAGACUGACGCUCAGGUGCGAAAGCGUGGGGAGCAAACAG
rnacentral:rRNA from 2 species